AGGACUUCCCAAGAGUGGCCCGUGGAACCUGAGUUCUAAGGAGGGUACAUGAAAAAAAUCAACAUGGGUUCCAUGAUCAAAGAAGUUUGGGAAAUGGGCUAAAUGAAAGGACUUCCAAGGCCUUUUAUCUGCUAAUGAGAAAGAAACAAGCCCUGUGAAAAACAAGCUGCUGUCCCUGCUAGAGGCAUCCUGCAAUCCAUGGAUGUUUAUCACCAAGCCAUUGUUAACAUGAGGUGGUUUCAAAAGGAAAAGCUUUGGGAGAUAGAAGUCCUCGUUUUGACCUCUGCCCUCCUUGUACACCAGGAACCAGAAAAACUUCAUCUCUUUUACAAGAAACAUUGAGAUUCCUGUAAAAUUAAGAAAUCACACAAUUUGAUGCUCUACAUUAUCUAAAGCAAAUGAGACUUCUAUUUGGAACAAAGACUACCUUGUUGGGAAAUGAGUCUGCAAGUUAAAGUGUUUUCUGGCACCUGUGCAAUUGUUUCCUGCUACCCUGCAUGCUGCUUAAGUCUGAUGAAGCCAUUCUUCUUUGGAGUCUGACAAUAGGU
rnacentral:lncRNA from 1 species